AGCGAACGCUGGCGGCAGGCCUAACACAUGCAAGUCGAACGAACCCUUCGGGGUUAGUGGCGGACGGGUGAGUAACACGUGGGAACGUACCCUUAGGUUCGGAAUAACUCAGGGAAACUUGAGUUAAUACCGAAUGUGCCCUUCGGGGGAAAGAUUUAUCGCCUUUGGAGCGGCCCGCGUCUGAUUAGCUAGUUGGUGAGGUAAAGGCUCACCAAGGCUACGAUCAGUAGCUGGUCUGAGAGGAUGACCAGCCACACUGGGACUGAGACACGGCCCAGACUCCUACGGGAGGCAGCAGUGGGGAAUCUUGCGCAAUGGGCGAAAGCCUGACGCAGCCAUGCCGCGUGGAUGAUGAAGGUCUUAGGAUUGUAAAAUCCUUUCACCGGCGAAGAUAAUGACUGUAGCCGGAGAAGAAGCCCCGGCUAACUUCGUGCCAGCCGCCGCGGUAACAC
rnacentral:rRNA from 1 species